rnacentral:rRNA from 1 species
UACGAAGGGGGCUAGCGUUGCUCGGAAUUACUGGGCGUAAAGCGCACGUAGGCGGAUCUUUAAGUCAGGGGUGAAAUCCUGGAGCUCAACUCCAGAACUGCCUUUGAUACUGAGGACCUUGAGUUCGGGAGAGGUGAGUGGAACUGCGAGUGUAGAGGUGAAAAUUCGUAGAUAUUCGCAAGAACACCAGUGGGCGAAGGCGGCUCACUGGCCCGAUACUGACGCUGAGGUGCGAAAGCGUGGGGAGCCAAACAGGGAUUAAGAAAC